UUCAGCCUUUCAUUUUACCCGAGCCCCUCUCUCUCUCUCCUCAGAAACUCUCUCUCUCUCUCUCUGCGUGUUACUGUUGCCGACGACGCAGGAGUACUUUCCGGCCACCAUUUUUAGCCACGCGCCGGACCGUUGGAUUCAGAGGCCUCCGAACUAUCGACCCACGCGGGAAUCUAGAGCUCACUCGCCGAUUAAACGCCUCAACCACUCGAUUUAAGUUCGGCCACCCCGCGACUUCAAAGUUGCGAUUCGGCCACCUCGGGCAUCCGUUUGCCGAUCCGUCACCACCAUCGUGCUCCUCGUGUUGUGGGCUUCAAAACCCAAUAACUUGUUCCUACAUCUACCAUAGUUGGGUGGUGGGCCCACCACGAGCCACCGCGAUCCACCGUAGACCGACGGUCGAAACUUAGUGUUCGAGGUUCCGAAGUACGUUUUGAGUCUCAGAAAAUCAUCGUUUGACUUAUUGUGGAACCCGAUAAUUUUGGAAUUGUAUGGAUUUGAUUGAUUGACUCUUGGUGAGCCGUUUUAAAAUAAGCUAAGGACCUAAGGUGUGGCUUUAGCUGUUGAGCAACUUGUGGAGCACGGACUCAGUAGCAAUGCAAUAAUGGUUUAGAGUUUUCAUAUGGCUGCCUUAAAUUUAAAGUAUUCAUACGUGUAAUAAUUUCUUCUAAUAAGUUUAUAUAAAAGUUUUAAAUUUUUCUGUAUUUCUUCGUAUCAUUUUAUUUAAUUCUUUUGGUCAAGUGCCUUACAUACUCGUAAAUCCUAGAAUUACGAGUAUGUGGCAGACGUACCCUACCUUAGGGACGUUACAGUAGGCUCGGACCUACCCGAGGUGAGAGGCCAAGGGAGUUGGCUCGGACCACCUUGGUCCGAGGAGAGCCAAGCAUGCAUGACCUUGGUCCGAGGAGAGCCAUGCAUACAUCACUUUGAGCCAAGGAAAGCUUGAAGGAGUAAUCAACAUGCAUGUGAGACUACGUCAAAAUCCCCGGAACGACUUUAGCAAGAAUCGGUCUAGGCACUCGGGAAUCUCUCAUUCCUCACUCAAAUUGAGGAAUCUGUUGUAUUUUAUAUAUUUUUUGUAAUUUAAAUAUAAGAUGAAUAAUAAAAUAUCCCUAUCUAAAGGGGAUAUCAGUUGAGGAUCCCAGGCCUAUAAAUAGAGGGUUGGUGGGAUCGUAAAAGGACUUUUGGCAAAUUGAGAGUUAAUCGGUGUUCUAGAGAGAGAAAGUGUGUUUUUCUUGAGAGAACCCCUUUUUUGUAUUCUGGAAUUUUUACACUAAGAAACUCAGUUGACACUGGUUCAUCUGAUCUUGAGUGUGAAUACAGUAAUAAAAUCUCUAAGUGGAUUAGGCUAUUACC